rnacentral:rRNA from 1 species
GAUGAACGCUGGCGGCGUGCCUAAUACAUGCAAGUCGAGCGAACAGAUGAGGAGCUUGCUCCUCUGACGUUAGCGGCGGACGGGUGAGUAACACGUGGAUAACCUACCUAUAAGACUGGGAUAACUUCGGGAAACCGGAGCUAAUACCGGAUAAUAUAUUGAACCGCAUGGUUCAAUAGUUAAAGACGGUUUUGCUGUCACUUAUAGAUGGAUCCGCGCCGCAUUAGCUAGUUGGUAAGGUAACGGCUUACCAAGGCAACGAUGCGUAGCCGACCUGAGAGGGUGAUCGGCCACACUGGAACUGAGACACGGUACAGACUCCUACGGGAGGCAGCAGUAGGGAAUCUUACGCAAGGGGGGAAAGCGUAACAGAGCAACACCGCGUGAGUGAUGAAGGUGUUCGGAUCGUAAAACUCUGUUAUUAGGGGAGAACAAAUGUGUAAGUAACUAUGCACGUAUUGACGGUACCGAAUCAGAAAGCCACGGCUAACUACGUG